UCUACAAAGAGAGGUCCCCAAUGCCUCUUCUCCUCCUCGAAGAGCCCUAAUUCUCUCCGAUCCCUCCAAUGGCCGCGCCGGAGGGCGGCCAGAGGAUCGCCAUCAACGACGCCCUCACCGACGACGAGCUUCGCGCAGUGCUGGCAAGGCUUGAACGGGAGGUGGACCGCGAUGCCUUUGGUCUCGUAUGCAAGCGAUGGCUCCAUAUCCAGAGCUCUGAGCGCCGUGUUCUCCGUGCUCGUGCUGGCCAUGCCAUGCUCCUUCGCAUGGCUGAUCGAUUCCCGGGACUCGUCGAGCUCGAUCUUUCACAGUUUGCUUCGCGGUCGUUCUUUCCCGGUGUCACUGAUUCCGAUUUGGGGGCGAUCGCUACUGGAUUUCGAAGUCUCAGGGUGCUCGAUCUCCGUGAAUGUAAAGGUGUCACUGAUGUAGGAAUGAUUUCGUUGGGAACUGGACUUCAUUCACUGCAAUGCUUGAAUGUUUCUGGCUGCAGAAGAGUCACAGACAAAGGAUUGGUAGCUGUUUCAUUGGGCUGUUCCAAUUUGAAAAGCUUGUACCUUGCUAAUUGCAAGCUUGCCACAGAUAAAUUACUUGAAGCCCUUUCAAAGAACUGUCACCACCUAGAAGAGCUGGGUCUUGCUGGAUGUGUUAAGAUAACUGACUCUGGACUCUCAAUUUUAGCUGAUGGUUGUAAGUAUAUCAAGUCUCUGGAUGUUAGCAAGUGCAGCAAAAUUGGUGAUAUUGGAGUCUCAAGGGUAGCAGAAGUAUGUACAUCUUUGAAGAGUCUUAAAUUGUUGGAUUGCGGCAAUGUCACCAAUAAUUCAAUAAUUUCACUGUCUCAGUCAUGUGUAAAUAUUGAAACCCUAGUAAUCAGUGGGUGUCAUAAUGUCUCUGAUGAAUCCAUAAGGUCACUAGCACUUGACUGUGGUCCUAACCUAAAGGUUUUAAGGAUGGAAUGGUGUUCAAAGAUCACAGAUCUGUCUGUGAGCGUUGUUCUCCAAAAUUCCAGAAAUCUUGUCGCUCUUGAUAUUGGUUGCUGUGAUCAUGUAACAGAUUCUGCUUUUCAAGCUCUGGGAAUCAGUGGCACAUCAGGUUUGCGUGUUUUGAAGAUCAGUAAUUGCCCAAGGAUCACAGUUUCAGGAAUUGAUACCAUCUUACAAUCCUGCAAAUCUUUGGAGUACCUUGAUGUGAGGUCUUGCCAGCAUGUUACUAAACAAAGUUGCUACCAAGCGGGGUUGCAGUUUUCUGAAGGUUGCAAAGUAAACUUCAAUGGAAGUUUGUCAGAGUCAGAUAGCUUGGAUGAGACUUACUUCUAAAUCUGGACCUGGAUGACAAAGUUCUCACCCUCUUGAUUAUGGCAGGUACUGAAGUGCGAGUAUCCUGAUGAUCCGGCUACUGGUUAUCUUGAUUUAUUGAACUGAAAAUGCCAAUUGUGUGAUCCUUAGUUCAAUGUUCCCCAUGAUGUUCAAAUUCCAGGGGACACUGUUCUGCAUAAAUUUGUUUUUGUUGGAUACCUCCUACAAAAAUAAUGAAUCAUCUCUUGUUUAUAUUCAAUCUUUGAAGCAGAAUGUCUAUCUAUUCUUGACCAGAUGAAAGUUUUCAAUUAACCAUUAUUUUAGAAUGAACCCAAAACUGGUAAUCUUCUAAUGACGAGGGGAUGUUUUGUCUGAGAUACAAUUGAUGUGAAGAAGAAAGUAAUUUUCCAUUAGUCAUCAGAAAUUCAAAAACAUUUAGAAUUAGGACCACGUGGAAGUCAUAAUUGACAGUAUCUUAUUGUCCUUUUUUUUUUGUUAGAUCAUGCAUUCAGAAACUGAUGAAGCCUACCACCUUGGCAACGUCUGAUCCACCUGCCAUUUAAGCAGCAACUACCAACAAUGAAGCCAUACCUACCAAAUAAUUGGAUCUGAAGAUGUCACUGAGUUUACAGGGAUACCGAUAACACUCAUUUUCGAAUUGCCUCUCUUUGUUCUUCAAAAUAAUCAGCAAUGUUUAAUCUUAUAUAUCAAAGUAACAAACUUGAGAAGCACUGAACCAUGACUUUAUGCUACAAAGUCAUCGGCAUCUUAUCGGGAAUAAAGGUGCACAGAUUUAUAUGUUUUUAUCAAUAUUUAUUAAUAUUAACAUGAAAGUGUAAAAGAAAAAGGUGAAUUUUCUUUGUUUUGCUUCAUGGAAAGGGAUGUGAUUUUCACAUCAAAUUGAUUAAUUAAUGUUUGCUUGUAUACCUAAUAAUAUGAUAUUCUUUUCUUUGUGCUUGUGUGGAAGGAUAUGAUGAUGUAUGCCCUUCACUUUUAGAAGAUAGACAAGAUGAGCAUCUAACUUUCAAGUAAGU